rnacentral:lncRNA from 1 species
CCUUCCAGCCUCCGGCACCCUGAGAACUGGGUGUGAGUGCUGAUUUCUCCACCUGUCUUAUUUCUUAAUAUCUGCAACCAGCUCAGAGCCAGGGAUAAGUCAAGACUCCACCAGCCCAUGUAUGGCUGCCCGGCUGCCCCCAGCCUUGCCCUCAGGUGGGUCACAGCUUGCUAUUUUUUUCCCACUUGGGUAAAAACUGCCUGACUUUCUUGCCUUGAGCUUCUCAUGGCAUCUGCCUAGAAUCCUUCCCAACUUUAUGAAAUUUGAAAACGUCUUCCUUCUGAGAUCUUUUUUCUUUUCUUUUCUUUCCUUUUGUUUUAUUUAUUUAUUUGUUUGUUUAUUUAUUUAUUGAGAAGGAGUCUUGCUCUGUUGCCAGGCUGGAGUGCAGUGGCGCAAUCUCGGCUCACUGCAAUCUCCGCCUCCUGGGUUCAAGCGAUUCCCCUGCCUCAGCCUCCCGAGUAGCUGGGACUACAGGUGUGCACCACCACGCCUGGCUCAUUUUUUUUGUAUUUUAGUAGAGACGGGGUUUCACCAUGUUGGCCAGGAUGGUCUCAAUCUGCUAACUUCGUGAUCCGCCCGCCUCAGCCUCCCAAAGUGCUGGGAUUACAGGCGUGAGCCACUGCACCUGGCCUUCCUUCUGAGAUCUCAAACCUCACUGACCUCAUAGGGCGUGGGCUACAUAAACACCCAUGUUCCCUGUAUUCUUCAACCAACCCACACCAGAAUUUUGUGAUGGCAUCUUCAUACCUCUUUUAUGGAUGGCAGGAUGUUCUACUGCAGGAGAAUGUCCCAGGCCCCAAACAAGGAAGGUCUGCUGGUGAACUAAACUGUCUCUUCCUUCCCAGAUGGAGACUUGGUACUUAAAAGAAUGGCUUUUGGCUCCUGUAACUGAUAACACUCAAGGCUGGGAUCAAAGUGGGUGGCAAGCUAUUGCGUGCACUCCCCUGUACACCAAGCUGCAGUAGGAAGAGGCACGGGUGGGGCUGUUGGGUUCUCAGCAGGAGGCUGAGCUCCAGGCUGACCUAGAACCAGCCCCGCUACUGGGCAGAGAGAUGGGAACCUCUCACCUGCCCUGAAAGUUACAGCUUUAUUAGGAAAAACUACUUAUUUCUGACAACCUAUGCCAGGCCAGAAUUCCAAGCUCUGCAAAGACAAAAUAUUUUUUGACUGAACAUGCCCAUUUCAGACCUUUCAUAAAGAACUUCUUUAUAGUACUAAGUGCCAGUUAAGGAUUUCCUAAAUUCCUUUGUCUAUCUCCCCAGUAACCAAAAAGAGAAUAUUUCUAGUAGACUUGGGAGACUUCAAAAUAACGUGGUCAACAAACAGGAGCAGGGGCUUAAAACCCAUUAUCCUCAAUGGAACACUGGCUGAUAAAAUCCCCUACCUUCCAAAAUUAACAACAAAUCUGUCUUUCUGUUCAGUUCUUCCCCGAGGGCAUGUCCUGUUGAGAGCCGGUUUCACCUGUGCAGUGUGGCCUGAUGGCCCAGCACCCAGGAGCUCUGCGCACCCUGCCGCCAUGGGCCAUCCGUCCCCAGACCUCUUCCCACAGGGUCACUGUGGUCCACCGUCCUGCCCUCGGGGAAUCUCAGCCUCCCUCUCACAGGCCCCGCCCACAGACUCAUUCACUGAUGCCAUCGCUGGACCCAAGUCAGUCAGAUGAAGAGCAGGAUGGUGUCAGAGCCUCGACCUCGGGAAGCACAGGAUGAGAACAAUGCAGCUGCCUCCCCAGGCCGUCAACCCCAGCACGGAAAACUCACGCUGGUCCUCACUCCAGCCUGAACGCUCCUGCUGAGGCCAGCUCUGCUCUGUCCCAUUCUGUCAUCAUUAAAGAGAGAAGGGAUGGCCACAUCUACCUGGAAAAACCACUUCCUCCUCUGAACACAGCUCUCAUCUGGAGCCCCGACGUGUCAUAUUCCUCCACCUUCCUGGAGGGAGGAAGUGCCCCAGUAGGCUGACAGCUGAGCUUUAAUUCUGCUCCACAGCCAAUCCAGGUUUUCUCAAUACUAUCUCUGUGGAAAAGUGCAUAAAACAGCAAGAAUAAUUGGCAUAAAUGAGACAAAUGUAACCCAGAAGCUUAGUCCCAAAAUGCACACUGAAAGUAAAUUCAUAAAAAUAUAAAUGAAAGCAAGUUUUCUUUAUAUUUAAGUAUAACAAAGCUACCUAUUGAUAAAUGGGGCCUUCUCCACACCCAGGUCCAGGACUAUGUUCCUUGCCUUAUUUUUUCCUAUAAGGCUUACCACCUUUAAAUGAAGCAAAAACAAAUGAAUCAAUAAAUCAUAUAAUUAACUUUUAUUGUAUUUACUGCCUUCAAUCGCUAGAAUGUAAGUUCUCCUGAAUACAAGGAAUGUUCACAGUAUUGUUUAUUUGUUAUUUCCCUGGGUCCCAGAACAGUUUCUGGCAUGUAAUACAGUCUCAAAAAUAUUUGCUGAAUGAAUGAAAGUUUAUUCUAUUAAGCAAACUGUUAUCUCUGGAUGAUAAAUGUCAUGUCACUCCUCGACCUCAAAUCUUUCCAUAGAUUCCAUCACUUCCAGGACAUAGUCCGUAUUAGCGAGGCAUACGUGCCCUUCGCCAUGUGGUCCCGAGCAUCUUCCUGAGUCUUUCCUAAAUCCUACACAUCCCCCUGGAGGCCAAAAUGCCUCUCAGGCAUACCAUGGCUUCCCAUCACUGCACCUUCAUGUACACGGUUCCUCCUGCCUAGAAUGACUUGCUCCUCAUUCCCUUGCGUGACAAAUGCCUACUGACCUUUUAGCAAAAAACAAAAACAGAAAAACCCUUCGCCAAGACUGUGAAGCCUUCUCCAGUAUUCCCAUCCCCAUCCAGGAACUGAGUACCACCGCUUCCAUGUUCCCAUGGCAACCCGCGCAUCCCCCAACACAGUGCUAAUCACCUUGCUGUCAUUGCUUGUCUCUUUGCUCACCCACGUCAUUAUCUUUGCAUCCCCAGGGGCCAGCACAGUAGGUGGCUAAUAGUUGCUUCAACUUAAAUGGACUCAAAUGCGCUAAAGGGAGGGGAAAAGAGAAGUCAGUGCACUUUGGGGCUGAGUUUUGUUUCUUUCACUUGUACCUGAUAUCUGUGCUCCUGUCACAGACGUCCACACAGACACACAAGCUAAAGAAGAAGAUGGACAAGAAUCAGCACACACUUUGCUCCUCUGGUUUCACCUUGAACCAGAGGGCCCAUUAGUCGUGUAAAGCCAUUAAAUAUUACAGCUGUAUAAAUCACACAAACCAGCAUUUCUGCCUCUCUCCACUAAGUGUCCAAAUCAGUAGCCAAUAAAACACUGGAAGUUUUUUUUUUUCUUUCUUUUUUUUCUUUGAGAUGGAGUUUCACUCUCGUCGCCCAGGCUGGAGUGCAAUGGUGCAAUCUUGGCUCAUUGCAACCUCUACCUCCCAGGUUCAAGUGAUUCUCCUGUCUCAGCCUCCUGAGUAGCUAGGAUUACAGGCACAUGCCACCACGCCCGGCUGAUUUUUGUAUUUUUAGUAGAGACAGGGUUUCAUCAUAUUGGUCAGGCUAGUCUCAAACUCCUGACCUCAGGAGAUCCACCUGCCUUCGUCUCCCAAAGUGCUGGGAUUACACGCAUGAGCCAUCGCACCAGGCCUAACACUGGAAGAUGUUUUAAGUAUAUAAGUUUCUUGUACAGUGAAAAUUAUACACACGUGAUACAAAGAAAUCAUAAAAUUUCAAUGAACACAGGUUGCCCAUGACAUAAAGGACAUGUGUGAAAGAAACGUGAACAGGGCUUUCUAUAACUCUUCAGGUGCACACAUGGGGAGCAGCCAAGGAUUUCUGCAGAAAAAUUCACUCCAGAGGUCAGCAGCUAGAAGCACAAAUGGAGAGUGAGUGAGCACGAGCGCCUCGUGGACUCAGCCCUCCCAGGUACGGUACUGGAAGAUGCUCAAGACACAGCACAGUGAGAAAUGUAGUAAAUGGGGUUCUUCUUUAGUCUUUUUUUUUUUUUGAGACAGAGUCUCGCUCUGUCACCCAGGUUGGAGUGCAAUGGCGCAAUCUUGGUUUACUGCAACCUCUGCCUCCCGGGUUCAAGAGAUUCUCUUGCCUCAGCUUCCUAAGUAGCUAGGAUUACAGGAGCCCGCCACCAUGCCUGGCUAAUUUUUGUAUUUUUAGUAGAGACAGAGUUUCUCCAUGUUGGCCAGGCUGGUCUCAAACUCCCAAACUCAGGUGAUCUGCCCUCCUCAGCCUCCCAAAGUGCUGGGAUUACAGGCAUGAGCCACCACGCCCUGCCAAGCCACCAAGCCCGGCCUUCUUUAGUCUUAAAAUUAGAAACUUGUUCCCUUAAAGGCCAAAAAUGUUCAGAGUUUUCUAGAAGUGGUGGCUCAUCAUGAUUACAUCAAUAUUAAGGAAAUACAGUAAAGGCUUCUGGACACCAGUGGUGUGGCAGGCAUUCAUUCACCCAGGCUCAAUGCAGGCUAAGUUGUGCCCAGCCUGAGAGGACUGCCAGGAUUAACCCAGAGCCUGCUAGACUCCCCAGGGAGUUGCUACCAGCUCCAGUGCCACACUCCUUCCCAACACCAGCUUUCCGCCUCUGCUAGUUGGAGAGCAUGUCACCAAGGUUGAGCGGCAAGCAGCUACAGCCCACAGCCUGGCACAGCACAUGGCACUAUGAAGGCUGGAGCAAGGCUUGCUGAGACAGAAGAGGAAAAAACAGAUCUGUUGCUGGAGAUAUGCAGAGAGAUAAACAGAAAGCAGAAAGUAUAGUUUUAAAUUUGGUGAUGGUGUUGGUUUGGUUUUGUUUUUUGAGACAGAGUCUCACUCUGCCACCCAGGCUGGAGUGUAGUGAUGUGAUCGUGGCUCACUGCAGCCUCCAACACCUGGGCUCAAGCCAUCCUCCCGCCUCAGCCUCCCGAGUAGCUGGGACUACAGGCACAGGCCAUCACACUUGGCCUUUUUUUUUUUUUUUGGUAGAGAUGGGGGUCUCAAUAUGUUACCUAGGCUGGUCUUGAACUCCUGGCCUCAAGUGAUCCUCCCACCUUCACCUCCCAAAGUGCUAGGAUUAUAGGCAUGAGCAACUGCACCUGGCCUUACUGGUUUUUAACAAGCAUAUAUUUGCAGGAAUAUCUCUCUUUAUUUGCAAGUGGCAAUGACUAAGCCUUAUUUAGGCUAGACAGAGUAUUUCUCCGGAUUUGGGGCUGAAGCUCACAUCACCAUCUCUCUCUGUCUAGUCUUCUAGUCUUCUCUCUGUCUAGUCUCCCCUGCAGCUCUGACCUCCCACAGUGUAAGCCCAUGUGACAUGUGCACUGAGCUUCUUGCUCCAUAAUCAUGAAUGUUCAGUGACCAAAGGAAUGGCACAAUAAUGGAAUGAAUCCGAGAAACACAUAUUGGCCAAAAAUUGCUAUUAAUUCAGUAAUACUUAGAUAAACGGUAACUGACCCCUCACAACAGAAAUUAACGUAUUUGAAACAGAGCUCCUCCCCGGGGGAGUUCCGUAACUGGUGUGUAAUGAGCAUCAGAAGCAUGGGGUAGCCCUUCAGUAGGAGACUAGGCACAGGUCUAAGGAGUCAGUGACUGCAGCAUAGGCACGGCAGGGGCCCCAAGGCUGCAGGUGCAGCGAGGACUCCUGCCCACCCCAGCCCCAGGCCCGUCCCCCAGGCUAGCUUUCUGGCACUCUGAAGGGCACGUUUUUUCCUGCAGGGGACCCAGUUUGUAGGAAUACCUGUAUUUCUGCCUCCUCUAAGUGUCCACGGUAUCUUUUAAUUCUACAAACGGCACUUAGGGAAACAACAGGGCGGUGGGUGGGGGGCAGGGGGAACUCAGGAGAAGAAUGUCUACAAAACGCUGGGAGGCAGAAGUAAGGGGCAGCCACGGGUGCCUUCUGACGCGUGAAGGCCAGAAGCUUCUAUUCUCGGCUACCAGAUGCCUAGGGAGACUCAGGGAACCCUGAGGACUCCCAGGCAGGGCAGGGAUGGGACUGGAUGCAGCAGCCGCCAGGGCUCUUUGCCAUGACCUUAGAGGAGGAAGUGGGGACUCAGAAACGGAAAUGAGCACAGGUCACCUGGGGGAGGGCUGGGAGGCCACCCUGCAUGCUCACCUCCUUGCCUGGCACACCCAGCUGCAGUGAGCGGGUGAUGGCCUGAUGGAGCUGCAGCCUCCACAGACCCAGGGAGAGGGGUGGAAGCCAGGUAGGCCUCCUAAUUCCACACCCCUUGCCUACCACUGGCUCCCACACAGCCCAGGACACGAAUGAUCUGGAAAUAAGAGUCAAACUAUACAAAACUAUUCCCACACAGGCCCAGAACCAAGCGCCCAUGGACACCCCUACACGGGCAGCAAGGGCUGGAACCGGCAGCCUGGUGGACAUCCGCCCUGCAGGGCUCUCCCUCGCAGAGACUGCAGAAGAGGGUGUGCAGUGCUCAGCGCGGAAGGAUGUUCUCCCUGCUUUUAAGGAGCCGUGACUAUUUUGCUCAGCGUCCCUGGCGUGCCUUUCUCUGUACAAAAAGGAGACUUAGAGGCUUCCCCAUCCCAUUACCACAGCUGGGCGGCUUCUUGCAUGAGGGCACCUUGCUGAACUAAGUCACCCCAAGCUACCCUAGGCUCCCUGUGCACUGAGAUGCUGAGUCCUGAGGUGCCUUCCAGCACCAGUGAAUGGGACUAAAGUCUUCUGCAGUGUCGCGACCGUUCUGAAGUGAGUAUUCUGUGGUCAUUUGUUACCCUCUGUGAAGCCCAGGAAGCAGGGAUUCAGGGCUGACCAGGGACCACUUUGUUCUCUGCCCAUGCAUGGAAGGUCUGCACUUGGGCCCCAAAGCCUGAGUAAAGUUUCACCGUGAACUUCUUCCAGCAGGAUAAACAGUAGGGUUCAGUACUGAGGGUCUCCAGUUUAAACCCUGAUUCCACUACAAAAUAAAUGCUAGACUGGGCCACAUAUUUAAGCUGUGUUUUCCUUAUGCUUAAAAUGGCAGUAAGAUUCCUUCCAGAGGCCAUGCAGGGAGAUAAUGCCCACAGAACGCUCAGAGUGGGGCUUGGCAGAGACAGGGCUAGACAGGGGCUGUUAUUUAGUGCUGGCAUCUUUUAUUGGUGGCGAUGUUAUUUUAUUUUCUAUGAUUAUGUAAUUUCCUCCUUAUAAUCUCACCCUUGUUGCUUAUCUUAAGAGUGAUGUUUCAGGAGCAACAGCAUCAAUGUAGUGUUUGAUAUUCUGGACAAUCUAACACAAGCAAUUUCUAAUUCAUAAUCCACUAUUUGUAUUUGUUGAUUAUUUGUUUAUAAUAAAGAAAGCAAUGCUUUGUCAGUUUUCCACAAUCUGCCACCAACCUCAGAUAUGCUUUCAUGAAGCUCAUCUUCAAUUAAGGCCCGUGUGCUUUAUUUUUGUGAAAAAUGGAGAUGUGAAGACAUUCUGUGCUCUGCUAGGCUGUGUCCUGAGAACCCCCCUUUUAAAAAGGUUCUCAGUAUUGUAGGUGUCACUUUUUUCCAUUAUAAAUCACAAAAUGUAGUAGCCAGUUAACAAGACACAGGUGUUGCUCCCCUGAAAGUGCCUGCAGAAUGGUGCCGAGGUCCUCUCCUCACCCAUAGCUCUUGGCAUGAUUUAUUCCUGCUGCACGCCUUCCGGGAGGUCCACCAGGCUCACGUCUGUGUCUGUGGAGGUGUGUGUGAACAUGUGCACGUGAGGGUACAUCCAGUCUUCUACCAGCUAAUACGUCAGAGACCACAUAAUGUUAGGCUGGAAGAGACCCUAAAGGUUAUAUAAACCAAUUCCCUUAUUUUAGAGCUGAGAAAUUUCAGGUGCAAAGAAGGGAGAGGCUAUAACAUGGUGGCACUAGAAUAAGACUGCCGGGUUUGAAUCCUGGUGCAACUACUUAUUACCUGUGUGAUCUUGGGAAAGUGACUUAACCUUUCUGGGUCACAGUUUGGAUACCUAUAAACGGCAGAUAUUAACAGUCUCUAUUUGUGUGGAUAUUUUAACAAUAAAAUUAAAUCAUUCACGUAAAGAACUUAAAAGACUCUCAGAUAGGUUGUGGUGAGCUAUGAUUGUACCACUGCACCCCAGCCUCCUGUAGCCUGGGCAAAGGAGCAAGAUUGUCUCUAAAAAAUAAAAAAAAUAAAAAUCUCCAAGAUAGGUAUCAGGUCUGCAAAAGUUUGGACCUAAUCAUGAUCCAAAACUAUGGCUUGAUGACUUCCAAAUUUAUUGCUUCCUUUUUUGGAUGAUCAUUUAUAUGGCACAAUAUGUUGUAAAAUGACACAAAAAUUAACAUUAACGAGCAUACCUCUGGGUUGUAGAUGUCUACGUACAGAUGUCCUUGUCCCAAAACCUAUGUGGAUCCCCAACUGCAUAGAUGCCAUUAUAGCAAAUAAUGUUCCCAAUAAAAUGCAGCAAAGUAUAACUAAAAAUUUAAGGAACUCCUUCAGACCCUUAAUGAUUCUAUAAAUAUAGCCCUAAGGUCAUUUGUAAAGCCAAGCAAAUACAUUCCAAUUGAAGCACUCACCGCAAGUUUUCAUCAUUGGUGAUAAAAGUACAUGAAGUAUUCUGUGUCCUAGAAUCAAGCCACCACUAAAUUCAAUCAUCUAUGUAUUCAUUUAUAUAAAAUCUCUAUUUCCUGGUUUUCAGUCCCUAAUGCACAAAGAUUUUAAAGGAGGUGAGGCUGGGCUGAAAGCUUCCCAAGGGUGGGAACCAGGUGUGGCGGCUUAGCUUCUAUUCUCUGGAGCAAUGCUUGGAUCUCCAUAGGCACUUGCAAAUAUUUUGGAAUGAAUGUAGACUGAAUAAAUAAAUGCUUCAGAAACCAAACUUGCAAGCAGUGCCAGCAAAUCAUAGCUCAAAAUAUUUGUUCAUCAGCUGUUGUUCAAAACUUUGAACUUAGCACACCAAAAAUGGUUUAUGUGUCACAACAUGCAAUGUGCCAAAGUGCAGGUUGGUCGAAAGUUGAACACAUAAAACCCAAGGGCUGUCUACAGCAACAGGGCCUGCAAUGGAAUAAAGACCCAGAAGCCAACAGCAGCGAGGCCGGAGACACAGAAAACACAACCAGAGUCUUCAGGGCAGCAACAGGAGAUGCAGCUUUAAGGGUCCAUCAGGCAGGAAGAACGACCCGGAAGAGGCUUGCCUCAGGCCAGACCCCAUGGUAUGAACUUGCAAGUCUCAGGGGCGAGGCAGAUCAAAGGACUUUGGGUCCCUGGAACCAUGAGAGGCUCCCUAUAAGGAUGGCGCCCAGCCAGGCCCUGAAGGCAGGUGACCAGAAGGGGUGGCAGUGUAGAGCCCUGCCCAGGUGGAGGGGGUACAGAGGAGUUCACUUCUGGCACAACCAGGGUUGAGUUGGGAGUUGGAAGAGAGCCUAAUUGAGGAGGAAGCUACAGAGGGAGAAAGGAGCCAGCCUGGGAGGGCCUCAGAGGGCGGGUGGGGAGCGGGAGCUCCAGGGCUCAGUGCGGGUGCAGUGCUGCUGAGCACCUUAAACAGCCCAGCCUCCAGCACUGUCAGCACCUUAAACGAGAUGUGAGCCAUGUUGCUGGGGAAGCCUCCCACCUCCGGGUCCUCACUUCCUCCGUGGAUAAGUGGUGUCUACCAAUAGAAACCUGUGCCCAGUGGUUACCAGGGUUUUCAUAUGGCAAAAUGUAUAUAGCAAAGAAGGUAGAUAAAAAGAAACACACACACACAAACCACACACACACACAACACACACACACAUUUACCUACAAUAAACUGAUUGAGCAAAAAGGAAUACUGACAUCUCCAGGCCACUGUAAGGGAGCAUGAUUAUGUAGUUUGAAAAACAGCAAACUGGCUGGGCGUGGUGGCUCACGCCUGUAAUCCCAGCACUUUGGGAGGCCGAGAUGGGCGGAUCACUAGGUCAGGAGAUCGAGACCAUCCUGGCUAACACGGUGAAACCCCGUCUCUACUAAAA